GACGAACGCUGGCGGCGUGCUUAACACAUGCAAGUCGAACGGAAAGGCCCUGCUUUUGUGGGGUGCUCGAGUGGCGAACGGGUGAGUAACCCGUGAGUAACCUGCCCUUGACUUUGGGAUAACUUCAGGAAACUGGGGCUAAUACCGGAUAGGAGCUCCUGCUGCAUGGUGGGGGUUGGAAAGUUUCGGCGGUUGGGGAUGGACUCGCGGCUUAUCAGCUUGUUGGUGGGGUGGUGGCUUACCAAGGCUUUGACGGGUAGCCGGCCUGAGAGGGUGACCGGCCACAUUGGGACUGAGAUACGGCCCAGACUCCUACGGGAGGCAGCAGUGGGGAAUAGUGCACAAUGGGCGGAAGCCUGAUGCAGCAACGCCGCGUGCGGGAUGACGGCCUUCGGGUUGUAAACCGCUUUCGCCUGUGACGAAGCGUGAGUGACGGUAAUGGGUAAAGAAGCACCGGCUAACUACGUG
rnacentral:rRNA from 1 species